AAAAAAAAUGAAUUUGUUUAUGGCACUCGUUGCCUCUGUGGCAUGGGAAUCAUGAUCUCGAGCGUUCCUCUGUAUUAUAAAGCAAUUGGAAAGGAUCGUUUCAAAUUCCAUAGUCUGUUGAGUUUUGCUAGAGAUUAUAUAUACGAAGAAAAAAGAGGUACAUCUAAAUUUUCGAUGGUAUGCGAAGAAGGUGCUCGCAAAAUGUGGAAAUCCUAUGCGAUUUUGACAUGCAUUAUUGUGACUUCGAUGAGUCUCGUGUCCCUUGGCCCAAUGCUUAUCUUUUUUC